GAAUUUUUUUAUUAUUAAUUUAUUUUCUAAUUUUUAGUUAAUAAUUUAUAGUAUAUAAUAUAUAAAGGGAUAAGCUUUUAAUUAUAUAAUUAAAAAUUUAUAUAUUUUAUUUUAUGUAUAAUUUAUAUUUUUAAUCAUAUUAAUAAUUUAAUAGUUAAUUUUAUUUUUAUUUAAGAUUUAUAUUAAUUUUAAUUUUUAUAUUAAAAAAUUUUGUUUAAUAUUUUUUCUAAAGUUAUAAUAAUUAAAUUAGUAGAUAAUUUUGUAAAUAUUUAAAAUAUUUAAGGUAAUAAAAAGGAAUUUGGCAAAUAGAUUUUUUGCCUGUUUAUUAAAAACAUGUCUUUUUGAUUAUAAUUUAAGGUUUAAUCUGCUCAGUGAAUAUUUAAAUUGCCGCAGUAUUUUGACUGUGCAAAGGUAGCAUAAUAAAUAGUUUUUUUAUUGGAAGCUGGAAUGAAUGAUUGGACAAGAGAAUUUCUGUCUCUUUAUUAUUUUUGUUUAAUUUUACUUUUAAGUUAAAAGGCUUAAAUAUUAUUAAAAGACGAGAAGACCCUAUAGAGUUUAAUUUGUAUUAUUUAAAUUUUUAUUGGAAUUUUAAAAAUUUAUUUAUAUAUAAAUUUAGUUGGGGUGACUAAAAGAUUUAUUUAACUCUUUAAAUUAGAAUCAGUUAUUUUUGAAUAUAAAAUUUAUAUUUUUAAAUUUAAAAUUAAUUACCUUAGGGAUAACAGCGUAAUUUUUUUUAAAAGUUCAUAUUAAAAGAAAAGAUUGCGACCUCGAUGUUGGAUUAAAAUUUAUUUUAGGUGAAGAAGCUUAAAUAUUGAGUCUGUUCGA
rnacentral:rRNA from 1 species